rnacentral:rRNA from 1 species
AGCAGUAGGGAAUCUUCCGCAAUGGACGAAAGUCUGACGGAGCAACGCCGCGUGAGUGAUGAAGGUUUUUGGAUUGUAAAACUCUGUUGUUAGGGAAGAACAAGUACCGUUUGAAUAGGGCGGCACCUUGACGGUACCUAACCAGAAAGCCACGGCUAACUACGUGCCAGCAGCCGCGGUAAUACGUAGGUGGCAAGCGUUGUCCGGAAUUAUUGGGCGUAAAGCGCGCGCAGGCGGUUUCUUAAGUCUGAUGUGAAAGCCCCCGGCUCAACCGGGGAGGGUCAUUGGAAACUGGGGAACUUGAGUGCAGAAGAGGAGAGUGGAAUUCCACGUGUAGCGGUGAAAUGCGUAGAGAUGUGGAGGAACACCCAGUGGCGAAGGCGACUCUUCUGGUCUGUAA